GAUUAACGCUAGCGGCAGGCCUAAUACAUGCAAGUCGAACGGGAUUGAUUGUAGCAAUACGGUCAUGAGAGUGGCGCACGGGUGCGUAACACGUAUGCAACCUACCUAUAACUGGGGGAUAGCCUCCCGAAAGGGAGAUAACACCGCAUAACAUUAUGAAGUGGCAUCACUUUAUACUUAAAUCUCCGGAGGUUAUAGAUGGGCAUGCGUCCGAUUAGCUAGUUGGUGAGGUAACGGCUCACCAAGGCUCCGAUCGGUAGGGGGUCUGAGAGGAUGAUCCCCCACACUGGUACUGAGACACGGACCAGACUCCUACGGGAGGCAGCAGUAAGGAAUAUUGGACAAUGGGCGCAAGCCUGAUCCAGCCAUGCCGCGUGAAGGAUGAAGGCCCUCUGGGUCGUAAACUUCUUUUAUACGGGAAAAAACCCCCGAUUGCGAUCGGGGUUGAUGGUACUGUAAGAAUAAGGGUCGGCUAACUUCGUGCCAGCCGCCGCAGUAA
rnacentral:rRNA from 1 species